UGGGGAAUCUUGCACAAUGGGGCAACCGUAGCAUGCAGUGACGCCGCGUGAGCGAUGAAGCCCUUCGGGUGUGAAAGCAUCUUUCGUCAGGGAAGAUUAUGACGGUACCUGGAGAAGCAGCUGCGGCUAACUACGUGCCAGCAGCCGCGGUAAUACGUAGGCAGCGAGCGUUGUUCGGAGUUACUGGGCGUAAAGGGUGUGUAGGCGGUUCUUUAAGUUUGGUGUGAAAUCUCCCGGCUCAACCGGGAGGGUGCGCCGAAUACUGAGGGACUAGAGUACGGGAGAGGAAAGUGGAAUUCCUGGUGUAGCGGUGAAAUGCGUA
rnacentral:rRNA from 1 species